UAAUCUAACUGUUCCCUCA
rnacentral:snRNA from 1 species